CCAACGUGGAUAUCCCAUGAGUUUGUUCUUGUGGGCUCUGUCCUGGUGGCGUAUGGGAGCAUCGCCCUGUGUGGCGCAGUGAUGUAUAAUCCCCUUCCACAACGUUGGAGAGCAAGCAUGUCCCCGGCCUUUAGGCUGGUGUGGGCAGCAUCCUGUAUAUUCCUAUAGCUUCCCAGAGCCCUCGGGCAGUGACUGGGGAGACAAACCAUACAGGGUACAUUA
rfam:Xenopus tropicalis strain Nigerian Chr05_contig_4033, whole genome shotgun sequence.